CAAGGACACGAUACCCAAUGAAUGCGAAAACCUCAGUCAGCCUUGUGGAUGUAUGUUCUGCAGACCUGACAUCUAGAGGACUGACUGAAAUUUUCACUUUCAGCUAAUUCUUCUAUUUUCUU
rnacentral:precursor_RNA from 8 species